GUGGGGAAUCUUCCGCAAUGGACGAAAGUCUGACGGAGCAACGCCGCGUGAGUGAUGAAGGUCUUCGGAUUGUAAAGCUCUGUUAAUCGGGACGAAAGAGCCUAGUGUGAAUAAUGCUAGGAAGUGACGGUACCGGAAUAGAAAGCCACGGCUAACUACGUGCCAGCAGCCGCGGUAAUACGUAGGUGGCAAGCGUUGUCCGGAAUUAUUGGGCGUAAAGCGCGCGCAGGCGGAUCUGCCAGUCUGUCUUAAAAGUUCGGGGCUUAACCCCGUGAUGGGAUGGAAACUACAGAUCUAGAGUAUCGGAGAGGAAAGUGGAAUUCCUAGUGUAGCGGUGAAAUGCGUAGAUAUUAGGAAGAACACCAGUGGCGAAGGCGACUUUCUGGACGAAAACUGACGCUGAGGCGCGAAAGCCAGGGGAGCGAACGGGAUUAGAAACCCUGGUAGUCC
rnacentral:rRNA from 1 species